CGUGCUUAACACAUGCAAGUCGAACGAUGAAGCCCAGCUUGAUGGGCGGAUUAGUGGCGAACGGGUGAGUAACACGUGAGUAACCUGCCCUUGACUCUGGGAUAAGCCUUGGAAACGAGGUCUAAUACCGGAUAGGAGCGCCUACCGCAUGGUGGGUGCUGGAAAGAAUUUCGGUCAUGGAUGGACUCGCGGCCUAUCAGCUUGUUGGUGAGGUAAUGGCUCACCAAGGCGACGACGGGUAGCCGGCCUGAGAGGGUGACCGGCCACACUGGGACUGAGACACGGCCCAGACUCCUACGGGAGGCAGCAGUGGGGAAUAUUGCACAAUGGGCGAAAGCCUGAUGCAGCGACGCCGCGUGAGGGAUGACGGCCUUCGGGUUGUAAACCUCUUUCAGUAGGGAAGAAGCGAAAGUGACGGUACCUGCAGAAGAAGCACCGGCUAACUACGUGCCACAG
rnacentral:rRNA from 1 species